rnacentral:misc_RNA from 1 species
UGACAUCACUUAAAUUGUUGGUGGUCAAAUUUGUUUACCUUCCUGGCAGAUUCAUCGUUCUUAACAAUAAAUAUAAUAUUCCUGAAUAGUAGUAAAGUAUUAAAAACCACUAAACAUGGAAAUUCAAAUGGAAAAACAUAAAAUUGAAAGUGCUGAUUUAAAGAAAUGUGGGGAAAUUACUACUCAUUUGUCAAUUGGUCAAAAAGAAUUUUUCUUAAAUUGUAGCUUUUGCGACUACAUUUUUCUUCAGUUAGGAGAUUUCAUUCAACACAUUUGUGAGGAUCAUCUGUGUCAUUUUAUGAACCCUAAAGUUCAGGAUGAAGAUGAUAAUUCCUUGCAAGAAGAUAUUGAACAAGAUAACAACUUUUCGACGACAGUUUCAAAUGAGGAAGGCAUGGACGAUGGUGUUGCACAAUUCUCGGCGGCAGAUUCGAAUGAGGUGAUGUUCGGAAACUUAAUUAAUCAAAACGACAGCGAUGACAGUAAAACGAAUUUACAAGAUUUUGAAAAAGUUGAAAUACAGUUGGACGAUAACCAGGUGAAAAAAUCUAUGGGUUUUAAAGAUUUGAACGAAAGUGAAACAGAAAAAAAUUAUAUUGAUAAUGAAGAUGAUGUAGAGAACUCUGAAAUUGCGGUUCAUUUAAAGGAAAACUAUACAUGUGAAAAAAAUACUUAUAAAGGAUGUAAUACAGAAAAUUCUGAGAUUGCUUCUUUUAUAGAGGAACUUGGUUUAAAUGGAUCGUUUAAUAAAAAUAAGAUGCUCGCAAUAUUUGAAGGGUAUGAAAAGCGGCCUUUUCUGUGGGAUAACGAUUUGCAAUUACCCAGAGAUAAUAAGAAAAGAGAAAAGGAAAUUAAAAAUAUUGCUGAAGAAGUGGGUAUUCCAAGCGAAUGGGAGUCAAUUCGUAAAAUGAUUGCAAAAUUAAGCAGUAAGCUUCGGACUGAAUUGGUACGAAAAAAAGUUUACCUUUCUAAAGGCAAAAUAUAUACACCUCUUUGGAUUAACGAUUUUGCUAUGUUUUUAAAGCCAAAACGAAAAAAAGCUAAGUUCUAUGAAUGGUAAAGAAAUACAAUUGGAUGUUUCAUUAUGCCAUGCAGUUGAUUAGUUCUUAAUGAAAUGUAAAACCAAAACCGUUACUGAGGAAAUUCACAACUCCAGAAACCAUUUUAAAUGAUGAACAAGCUAUUGUUUUAGCUAAAAUUUAUAACAG